rnacentral:rRNA from 1 species
AGAGUUUGAUUCUGGCUCAGAACGAACGCUGGCGGCGUGGAUAAGACAUGCAAGUCGAACGGAGAAGCAAUAGCUUGCUAAUGCUUCUUAGUGGCGCACGGGUGAGUAACACGUGAGCAACCUGCCUUCGAGACGGGAAUAGCCCUGGGAAACCGGGAUUAAUGCCCGAUAGACUCGCAAGAGUAAACGCAGCAAUGCGCUUGAAGAGGGGCUCGCGGCCUAUUAGUUAGUUGGUGAGGUAACGGCUCACCAAGGCGAUGACGGGUAGCCGGUCUGAGAGGAUGUCCGGCCACACUGGAACUGAGACACGGUCCAGACACCUACGGGUGGCAGCAGUCGAGAAUCAUUCACAAUGGGGGAAACCCUGAUGGUGCGACGCCGCGUGGGGGAAGAAGGUCUUCGGAUUGUAAACCCCUGUCAUGUGGGAGCAAGGCGCAAGCUUGAUAGUACCACAAGAGGAAGAGACGGCUAACUCUGUGCCAGCAGCCGCGGUAAUACAGAGGUCUCAAGCGUUGUUCGGAAUCACUGGGCGUAAAGGGUACGUAGGCUGCAUCAUAAGUCGGGCGUGAAAGGCAGGGGCUCAACCCCUGGAGUGCGCUUGAUACUGUGAUGCUAGAGUCAUGGAGGGGGAACCGGAACUCUCGGUGUAGCAGUGAAAUGCGUAGAUAUCGAGAAGAACACUCGUGGCGAAGGCGGGUUCCUGGACAUGUACUGACGCUGAGGUACGAAGGCUAGGGGAGCGAAAGGGAUUAGAUACCCCUGUAGUCCUAGCAGUAAACGGUGCACGCUUGGUGUGUGGGGAAUCGACCCCCCACGUGCCGGAGCAAACGCGUUAAGCGUGCCGCCUGGGGAGUACGGUCGCAAGAUUAAAACUCAAAGAAAUUGACGGGGACCCGCACAAGCGGUGGAGUAUGUGGCUUAAUUCGAUGCAACGCGAAGAACCUUACCUGGGCUUGACAUGUGAUGAACAACAUGUGAAAGCAUGUGACACCUCGGUGGCGUCACACAGGUGCUGCAUGGCCGUCGUCAGCUCGUGUCGUGAGAUGUUUGGUUAAGUCCAGCAACGAGCGCAACCCCUGUUGCCAGUUACCAGCACGUUAUGGUGGGGACUCUGGCGAGACUGCCCAGAUCAACUGGGAGGAAGGUGGGGACGACGUCAGGUCAGUAUGGCCCUUAUGCCCAGGGCUGCACACGUACUACAAUGCCCAGUACAGAGGGUACCGAACCCGCGAGGGGGAGGCAAUCCAUGAAAACUGGGCCCAGUUCGGAUUGUAGGCUGCAACUCGCCUACAUGAAGAUGGAAUCGCUAGUAAUGGCGCAUCAGCUACGGCGCCGUGAAUACGUUCCCGGGUCUUGUACACACCGCCCGUCACAUCAUGGAAGCCGGUCGCACCCGAAGUAUCUGAAGCCAACCGCAAGGAGGCAGGGUCCUAAGGUGAGACUGGUAACUGGGAUGAAGUCGUAACAAGGUAGCCGUAGGGGAACCUGCGGCUGGAUCACCU